CAAGUCCCCUGGUCUUAUCUUCAUGGGAAUGUGCAUGGCCUCUCAGUAAGCACAAACCCAGGCUAUGAACAAUGUUGAGGUCCUCCAGCACAACAAAAUCUCCAUAUACUUCCUUCAAGUUGUGAACCCAUCAAUGCUCACUCUGAAAAUGGCAGUUGCAUGGGUUCAAGGCAUGGUGACCUUGGUGCAUGCCCGUCUUUCUGUCCAGCAGCAGCUCCAGCAGCAAUGGCUGGAAAUCUCUCAGUGCCCAGAUUGGGCUGUCACAUUUCAUUAUUUCUCACAUCUCAACAUCACAUCACACCAAAUGGUGCACUUUGUAUGAAACUAGAUAGCUUCCCUUCCAUAAAUAUCUGCAUUGUCCGGAACUGAGCAAUCUCAGUGUAACAUAUAUGGAAAAUAAUUCUUCUUGUCAAAAGUUUUGGGAUAAAAUUUUUAUAUGGUGUAUGCAGGCCUUGAACACCUGACCUUAGAGGACCAUUUGUUUCAAUCUUUC
ensembl:lncRNA